rnacentral:lncRNA from 1 species
UGCCAUCACUCGGGAGACGGCGCCCUCAUGUCAUCAGCCUUCGGUCCUCCUCCUAUCGAGCGGCGUCCUCGGCAGAGGCAGCAGAGGCGCGGUUCCUCGGGCGGCGCCUGGGAGCCACAAGUGGGUGCAGCGGGCGCAGCCCCCAGCCCUGGCGCCUCGGACACACCCACUCGCCGCCGCACUCACGCGCCUCCCAUCCACCACGCACAGACGCCCACGCGCGCACUCCCGGGCGCACGCUGGCACCUCCACAUGACCGCAAAGGCGCCCGGAAUCCUGAUGCCAGCAAGGUCCUUGGGGAUCACCUAAUCCAUCCCCCUGCCUGCAAGCGGGACCAGACUUCCACCCCGCAAUUCGACGAGAGCCCCAGUCCCACGAGGCCCUGGAGCGAAGGACUUUCUGAAAGCCCUCCGGCGUUGCUUCUUCAGAAUGAAAUACACCUGUGUCCGGAAGGUCUUUCACACAGCUAACCUGAGGACUCCAGGCUGUUAAAUAGGCUCCUAGGACCACCCCACCAACUCUUCGAAUGACUCUGAAAAGCCCGAAGCCCCAAUUCGAGUCUGUUAGUCUCAGCCCCUUUCUUCCACCCAGAAAAUGGGGCUGUAGAAGUUCACUUAGAUAGGCAGAUCCUUGACACCCAGCACUUGGUGGUAACCUUGGCGCCCUAGGCUUCCACUCCUGGCUGCCACCAUCAGGCAGAUCCAGGACAGGUUCCUUUGGUCACCCCCAGCUGCCUCCUGCUGAGGUGGGUUCAGUUACUUUUAAAAAUAGUCCAAAGCCAUUCUGAACCAAAGUCUUGAAUCAGCUGUGAAGCCAGAUUUGGAGAAGUAUCCAUCUCCGGUUCAGCAGGCCAGCUCCUGCUCCAGCUCUCUCUGCCGUAGGGAACGCAGGAGGCCAGGCCUGGGAGGAGAGUCCAAGGGCUGACAGUGUCUGGUGGAGCCUCAGCAUCUCUGCACCAACCGUGUGCCCUCCUGAGGUUAUUGCUUGAAGGACCACGUUCAUUUAUCAGAGCAAAACAAUAUUUCCCAGCCUCCCCUUCAGAAUGGUGAGGACAUGUGACUGAACUCUGGCCAACAGGAUGUGAGCAAAAGUGAUCUGAGUAGUGGGAGAAAACGUUGGACUUCAGUGGAUUGAAGAGUGGAUGUGAGGUGAAGAAAAGGAAAAAAUGUGUGCAGACAACUCUUGAGAAGCCUCAAGCUUUCAAGGAGAGGGACAGAGAAAUGGGGUGGCAGCUAAAUGCUGCUGUGGGAACAAGGAGGGCGUGCUGAGAUCCCAGAUGUGUGUCUCUCCAGAUCCGGAGUGCCAGCCUCUAGGCCAUUCUGGCUGAAGGCUUCAUGUGUGUUAUUUUUACCUCCCAACGAAACCGUAAGCCUCUCAUCGUCAGGAACUGUCACGAGGACAUGCUCUAGCUCGUGAGACACUCAUGGCUGAAGAGGGUGGUGGAGGCGUGCUCCAGCCUCGGCCCCUGAAGAUGUUCAGACAGCCCUUUUCCAGGGCCAGUGAGGAAGUGCACGCCAGGCCCAUUAGCUCAGAAACAGCAGCAACACGUUUGAGUCAAGAGGGUCAGCCAGCCCCUGGAAGCACUCGCCGGCCCUCUCAGAGACUGCGGCUGGAGCCUUAAUUAUCUCUCCUCUGAGGAGCUGGCCCCGGCUGGCUCUUCACACAGCUGCUUUCUCCAGGGCCCAAGUCCCCCACAAUGCCCCCAACUGCCAGAGCCAGAGCUCAGAAACCCCAGGUGAUGGUGAGUUAAGUUGGGCCUCCCUCCCUGAGCCAGCUUCAUU